AUACUUACCUGGCAGGGAAGAUAACAUGAUCAUAAGGUGGUUUUCUCAGAACAAGGCUAAUUUUUGCACUCCUGGUGUACUGAGCCCUUUGAUUUUCCCAAAUGCAGGAAACAAGACUGCAUAAUUUAUGGUAGUAAGGAAUAUGUUUGUGCUCACCACU